rnacentral:rRNA from 1 species
UACGUAGGGGGCAAGCGUUGUCCGGAAUCAUUGGGCGUAAAGCGCGUGUAGGCGGUCCGGUAAGUCCGCUGUGAAAGUCGGGGGCUCAACCCUCGGAUGCCGGUGGAUACUGUCGGGCUUGAGUACGGAAGAGGCGAGUGGAAUUCCUGGUGUAGCGGUGAAAUGCGCAGAUAUCAGGAGGAACACCAAUUGCGAAGGCAGCUCGCUGGGACGUUACUGACGCUGAGGCGCGAAAGCUAGGGGAGCAAACGGG